GAGUUUGAUCCUGGCUCAGAUUGAACGCUGGCGGUAUGCUUAACACAUGCAAGUCGAACGGUAACAGGCCUUCGGGCGCUGACGAGUGGCGGACGGGUGAGUAACGCGUAGGAAUCUGCCUUAUAGUGGGGGACAACGUGGGGAAACCCACGCUAAUACCGCAUACGCCCUACGGGGGAAAGCGGGGGAUCGCAAGACCUCGCGCUAUGAGAUGAGCCUGCGUUAGAUUAGCUAGUUGGUAGGGUAAAAGCCUACCAAGGCGACGAUCUAUAGCUGGUCUGAGAGGACGAUCAGCCACACUGGGACUGAGACACGGCCCAGACUCCUACGGGAGGCAGCAGUGGGGAAUAUUGGACAAUGGGCGCAAGCCUGAUCCAGCAAUACCGCGUGUGUGAAGAAGGCCCUAGGGUUGUAAAGCACUUUCAAUGGGGAGGAAAACCUGCCGGUCAAUACCCGGUAGCUUGACAUUACCUAUAGAAGAAGCACCGGCUAACUCCGUGCCAGCAGCCGCGGUAAUACGGAGGGUGCGAGCGUUAAUCGGAAUUACUGGGCGUAAAGCGUGCGUAGGCGGCUCGUUAAGUCAGAUGUGAAAGCCCUGGGCUCAACCUGGGAACUGCAUUUGA
rnacentral:rRNA from 1 species